rnacentral:rRNA from 1 species
CCUCAACUCGUGUGUGACUACCCCCUGGAUUUAAGCAUAUCAUUAAGGGGAGGAAAAGAAAC